GAGCUUUGGUUAUGUGUUUCUGUACAUGCUUUGGAUAAGAAUGAUAUGAUUGCAACGUCAAGGACGACGUUUGAGCUUCUGUACGGUAUUUGUUUUUGAUAUGCUCUGAAAUGGUUCAUUCUCUGUUGAUAUGCUUCGAAAUGUUCAAUAUGCCGUUGAUAUGCUCCGGAACAUUUCAUACGCCAUUGAUAAACUCCGAAAUGUUUCAUUCGUUACUGAUAUGCUCCAAUUA
rnacentral:lncRNA from 1 species